rnacentral:rRNA from 1 species
UACGUAGGGGGCGAGCGUUGUCCGGAGUUACUGGGCGUAAAGCGCUUGUAGGCGGUCCACCAAGUUUGGGGUGACAGUUGCCGACUUAAUCGGCAAAGUGCCUCAAAGACUGGCGGACUUGAGGGCCACAGAGGGACAUGGAACUCCAGGUGUAGUGGUGAAAUGCGUAGAUAUCGGGAAGAACACCUAUGGCGAAGGCAGCUCUCUGGGACGGUACUGACGCUGAGGAGCGAAAGCGUGGGGAGCGAACAGG